GACGAACGCUGGCGGCGUGCCUAACACAUGCAAGUCGAACGGAGAGGUUAUGAACAAGGCUUCGGCCAAGUGAGUAAUUUUCUUAGUGGCGGACGGGUGAGUAACGCGUGAGCAAUCUGCCUUUCAGAGGGGGAUAACGUUCUGAAAAGAACGCUAAUACCGCAUAACGCGUAGAGGUCGCAUGGCCUUUACGCCAAAGAUUUAUCGCUGAAAGAUGGUCUCGCGUCUGAUUAGCUAGAUGGCGGGGUAACGGCCCACCAUGGCGACGAUCAGUAGCCGGUCUGAGAGGAUGAACGGCCACAUUGGGACUGAGAUACGGCCCAGACUCCUACGGGAGGCAGCAGUGGGGAAUAUUGGGGCAAUGGGGGGAAACCCUGACCCAGCAACGCCGCGUG
rnacentral:rRNA from 1 species